rnacentral:rRNA from 1 species
GACGAACGCUGGCGGCGUGCUUAACACGUGCAAGUCGAACGGAAAGGCCCUGCUUUUGUGGGGUGCUCGAGUGGCGAACGGGUGAGUAACACGUGAGUAACCGGCCCUUGACUUUGGGAUAACUUCAGGAAACUGGGGCUAAUACCGGAUAGGAGCUCCUGCUGCAUGGUGGGGGUUGGAAAGUUUCGGCGGUUGGGGAUGGACUCGCGGCUUAUCAGCUUGUUGGUGGGGUAGUGGCUUACCAAGGCUUUGACGGGUAGCCGGCCUGAGAGGGUGACCGGCCACAUUGGGACUGAGAUACGGCCCAGACUCCUACGGGAGGCAGCAGUGGGGAAUAUUGCACAAUGGGCGGAAGCCUGAUGCAGCAACGCCGCGUGCGGGAUGACGGCCUUCGGGUUGUAAACCGCUUUCGCCUGUGACGAAGCGUGAGUGACGGUAAUGGGUAAAGAAGCACCGGCUAACUACGUGCCAGCAGCCGCGGUGAUACGUAGGGUGCGAGCGUUGUCCGGAUUUAUUGGGCGUAAAGGGCUCGUAGGUGGUUGAUCGCGUCGGAAGUGUAAUCUUGGGGCUUAACCCUGAGCGUGCUUUCGAUACGGGUUGACUUGAGGAAGGUAGGGGAGAAUGGAAUUCCUGGUGGAGCGGUGGAAUGCGCAGAUAUCAGGAGGAACACCAGUGGCGAAGGCGGUUCUCUGGGCCUUUCCUGACGCUGAGGAGCGAAAGCGUGGGGAGCGAACAGGCUUAGAUACCCCGGUAGUCCACGCUGUAAACGGUGGGUACUAGGUGUGGGGUCCAUUCCACGGGUUCCGUGCCGUAGCUAACGCUUUAAGUACCCCGCCUGGGGAGUACGGCCGCAAGGCUAAAACUCAAAGGAAUUGACGGGGCCCCGCACAAGCGGCGGAGCAUGCGGAUUAAUUCGAUGCAACGCGUAGAACCUUACCUGGGUUUGACAUGGAUCGGGAGUGCUCAGAGAUGGGUGUGCCUCUUUUGGGGUCGGUUCACAGGUGGUGCAUGGCUGUCGUCAGCUCGUGUCGUGAGAUGUUGGGUUAAGUCCCGCAACGAGCGCAACCCUUGUUCACUGUUGCCAGCACGUUAUGGUGGGGACUCAGUGGAGACCGCCGGGGUCAACUCGGAGGAAGGUGGGGAUGACGUCAAGUCAUCAUGCCCCUUAUGUCCAGGGCUUCACGCAUGCUACAAUGGCUGGUACAGAGAGUGGCGAGCCUGUGAGGGUGAGCGAAUCUCGGAAAGCCGGUCUCAGUUCGGAUUGGGGUCUGCAACUCGACCUCAUGAAGUCGGAGUCGCUAGUAAUCGCAGAUCAGCAACGCUGCGGUGAAUACGUUCCCGGG